CGUUUCGUCUACAUAAGACUCAUCAGUGACGCUCAUAUCAAAAUAGUUAUAAAGCCAAACAGGUACAAAGUUGAAGAGCAUUGAGGAUCCAAAAUUCCAAGAAGUUGUGCCAAAUACGGCUAAGGUAAUCUAUUCCUGGGAUAAGAAAAUCCUUAGUUUUACGAUAAAUUCAAAGUUUUGUAUACAGAAAAUUUAUAAAAAUGACCACAUAAUUGAUAUUCAUGUCAACACCGAAGUGCUGACUACUGGGCUGGUGAUACCCUCGGGGACGAAACGUCCACCAGCAGUGGCAUCGACCCAGUGGUGUAAAUAGUUAUCAAAG
rnacentral:lncRNA from 1 species